rnacentral:lncRNA from 1 species
UUUUUUUUUUUUUUUUUUGUGUACAAUAAAAUUCCAAAAUUUUAUAUUUCUUUUUAAUUAUAAAUACCAUCGAAGUUUUUAAGGUAAAAAAUAAAGUUCUGAAUUCUGAAUUUUUAUUUUGUUUUAAUAAAUAACAUCUCAAAAUUUUUACUUUUUUUAUUAAUUUUUUAAAUAUUUUUUUUUGUAGAAUUUGUCAUAAACUAAAACUUUUAAAAAUGGUAGAUUUUACAAAAUAUUUACAACUUAUAAAAAAUUCUAUCACUCAGGAUCAUGAUCAUUGAUAUUUUGUAAAUAUUUUAAUUUAUUUUGUUAUUUUUAAAAAUGUCCAAAAAAAUGAAAUUAUUUACAAAAUCUAACCAACAAUUGAAAUGAGUUACAGAAAUUUUGCUAUAUUUUGUAAAUAGUUUCAAUAUGUUGUUAUUUUUUAAAACGCCUCAUUUUUGUUAUCAUAUCUUAUUGGCAAAUAACACUUUAAAUUUUUUUAUUUUUUAAUUUAUUGAACAAAUAAUAUCCCAAAAUUUUGGAUUUUUUUUUGUAUGAAUACCAAACAAACAAAAGAAAUAGUUGCUUAAAUUAUUAUUAAAAAAAGACUAAAAACAAAUAAGAGAAUUCUCAAAAAUAGCAAAUUUGACAAAAUAUUUACCAUAGUGAAAUUUUCAGAUUCUAUCAAUAAUAGGUAUUGAUAGACACUGAUAUGCUUCUAUUAGCGACAUCGAUACACAAUGAUAGAAAACUAUCAGCUCCUAUUAUUGAUAGGAUAUAAAAUUUUGCUAUAACUUGUAAAUAUUUUAAUUUAUUUUGCUAUUUCUAGAAAGAAUUUGUUUUUCAAAAAUAAAACAAAUCGCGAAAAUAUUUACAUCGUAUAAAAUAAUUUUAAAAAAGGAAAAGAUCUUCAAAGUGAAAUAACAAAAUUACCCCUAUGAUUAAUCAGUCACACACGUGUGAAAAACGAUUUUAUACACACUCUAAAUGAUCUCGUACCCAAUCUAAAUGAUCUCUUAGCAAUGAUCUUGAAGCAAGUCUACACGAUCUUUGUACUUGUAUACCAAGUCUAAACGAUCUUAUACCAAAUCAAAACGAUCUACUAGUGAUAGUGGUUUAUCUCUAUUUAUUUGGGAUAGACAACUAAUUGUUUAGAUAUUUACACAUGAUUGUUUAGAUCUUGUACCAAGAAGAAGAAAAAAAAGAAGAUGAGAAAUAAAGAAGAAAGAAAUUUUGGAAGAAGAAAUGAAGAAAUUGUCAAAUAUUUAUAUAAAUAAUCAUAAUAUUAUAAAAUGAAUAAGAAGUAAUAGUGAGAAGAAAUGAAUAAUAUGAAGAGGUGAUAAAUAAAUCACAAAACAAAAAAACUUGAAAUUUAUGAAAAUAUAGAAAUAAAAACAUUUAAACAAUUGAAAUUAAUAUUAGUUUGGUGGAAAUUGAAAUUAAUUAAAUAAUUUGAUGUUAAAAAUAUUUAAAUAAAUACAAAUUAAUUACUAUAGUGUUAAUUAAUAGAAAUAUAUAUUUUAAAUGGUAAAAUGAAUUAAUUUUAGGUUUUGAUAGACGGACGUGAAUAUAUAUGACUUUAGUAAUAAAAAUCGGAAAAUGAAUUACUAACAAUAAUUUAAUUAAAUAGUUAAAAGGUAAUAACAGAUUAUCUAAAAAAUAGAAAUUAAUUUUGGUGGGAAAUUGAGAAGAUAUAUAUUUGUUGAGUAUCCUAUAAGAACUAUGUGGGGGAAGCCGAAUGAGAAUGAGGUAAGCAGGAAUUGGCAGUUAAUAAUAUAUUUGGAAAAACAACCAAACCUACGAAUUUUAAUUACGUUGACGUUGAAAUUCUCAACACGUAUUAGUAUUGCAUGCACCACCUCAAUAAACAAUAAAUAGUAUAAGUUUGAAAGUCCUUGCAAUUUAAUCUACGAUCCACCUCAAUACCUUUUUAAUCUUAUAGUUUAACCAUACACCUUAUAACAGCCAUACAAUUAUUUACAUAUUCUACUAUCCACUGAUUAACUUGAAAAGUCCAUCAUCAGUGUAUUUGAACAAAACCCAAUUGUUGUUCUUGCAUGGUUUAUAGGUUUUGAACUUUUUCCUCGUAUUUUAUGUUGGCCGUCUUUGAUAUUUAAUAUAUGAUCUUUCUUACAUGUCAAAAGCAAAUAAUAAAAAGAGAGAGAAAAGAAAAGAAACAACCUUAGGACCAAGUAUAUUAUUAUUAGGUCUUUAAUAUAAGAUGAAACUAUAUGUUACUAGAUUUAUGUAUCCAACAACAGUAUGAAUGCACCAGGUAAUUGCGAUUUUAAUUUUAAUGCUUGACAGGACUGAAUCUAUGGUGUUUGCAUAAAAAAAACAGGUGUAAAUAUUAUAUAUGUGUGUUUGAAAAUCAAAUUUGUAAUAUUAAACCAUGAGUUUAGACGAAUAGGCAGAGAGAAUUGGCUAGGUAGGAGAGUGAAACAAUAAUGAUAGUCCAAAUUAAAUGAAUUGAUGCAAUCAAAAUGGCCGAGUUGAUUCCUUGUCUAUUUUAGUUGCUUUUACUUCCAAUUUAUUUCAACUUUUUAUUGUUUGAUUGGCUACCACGUUUUGAUUGAAUCAAAUCAAAUUAGUUAAAUUGUUUUUUAUUCUAAAAGAGAUAAACUAAAUUACAUGAAAUACACAUUGACCUUGACCUUGACCUUUUGCACCUUCAUCAAAAAUAUUUCUUCUUUUAAAACUUUAGAAGAUACUUUCAAACUUUAAAAAAGAGUUAAAAAUAUAUAUAUUCUUGUCAUUAGCUUUAGAGGAAAAUUAUUAAAUUUUAAGAAUAUCAAGUAAAAGAAAAUAUUCGAGACCACCGUAAAAAAAUAUAUGAGAAAUUGCAUGGGAUAGCUCUAAAAAUAUGAUAUAGCAAUUAUAACACAUUGUUUUGUAUAAUAGAAUUUUACGAAUAUGACAAAAUUUUCACUUCAUCAUCUUAAAUUUUUUAUUAUUCAUGAACUACCAUUCAAUAAUAGCUUAUUUCUCUUUCUCUUUUAAAUGUUGUACUCAUUAUUUAUUUAUUCUCCUACUUUUCAAGGCUUUAAGUAUUUGUUUAUUCUUAUACUAGAAUUUUUUUUUUGUCUUAAUCUUAAUUUCAAAAUAUCAAUAGUACAAUAAUUGCAAUAUGGAAUAUAAUAUAAUGGUUGUUGAAUCGGAGGAAUUUAAAUUUAUUUGUGAUUUUCUUUUUACUUUCUUCAAUGUGUAUUUUGAAUUGAAUUUGAGUCCAAAUGAUUUUGUUUUAUUCUUUUACAUUAAUUGUUUUGGUUUUACUUUGUCUCAGUUUCGUAUAUUAGUGUUGUGAUAUACUUAUAUUAUAUGUAUUAGUUGGUUAUGCAGUUCAUUAGAAUAAGGUAUAAUAAAGUAUAUAAAAAAUUUAAUAAAGUUAUCAGAAUUUUGUAUCAAAAGGUAUCGAGUGUAUCAAAAAGUAUCAGGUGCAUCAAGUGUAUCAAUCAAAUGUAUCAUGUGUAUCAAGACGUAUUGGGUGUAUCAAACGUAUAUCAGUAACAAGCGCUUUUGUGACAUUUUACCUCUUGGUGUAUGGGCUGAGUUUCGAUUUUUUCAUUUUCGUAAAUAAUAAAGUGUGUGUGGUAUGAAGUUAGUUAUUAUAACUUAUUUUAUUUGUUGGAAGUGUCCAAAAAAGUAUUUAUAAAUUUUUUAAAAGUUGGCUAAGCAACCUAAUAUUAUAUUAAAAAAAGAGAGGAAGAGUUAAAUAUCUCAUUAUCUCCCUCUUUUCAUUUCCUCACUCUUCUCUACUUUAAUUAAUCUAUGACUUAAUAAUAUUUAGUCCAUAUCUUCUCUAUUUUUCUCAAUUAAACUGUUAAAAGUAUGUGUACUUUUAAAAAUAAACAUAUCUAUAUCUUCUCCUAACAACAACAGUAAAAGUGUUGAGAAAAAUUGAUAAAAUAUUAAAUAAAAAAUAUAUUGUUACCUGAAUUUAACCCUAAUCUCUUAGCCUUUGCAAAGUUGUGUCCCUAUUUGAUCAUUACUAUGACAAUCCAUGCAUGACCAUUUAUGUUUAGUUUAUUGAAAUUCUAAUAUAUCAAUGUAACUUUACAAAUGGGUCUACAUUUGAAAAAUGAAGUGGGUUGACAUAGUAGAGGGUAAGGUUUAAGUGUUUUAUGCCAAUGAAAAUAUGAAAUAUCCAUUAUUCUAAAAGAAAUUAUAAAAACAAUUUUUAUAAUAAGUAAACAUUGUACACUUUUUAAUCAAGUUAAAAAGUUUGUUAUUCAUAUUCUUUCAAUAUUAUUGAUAUAGUUGUUGUUUUAGUUUUUAUGAUAAAAAGUUUCAAUUCAUCCCAUGUAGAAUUUAUAAUGCAGAGAAUGAUAUGUUAGAUAAAAAAAAAUUGUAUGUAAAGAGUAAUGAUACCCAUUUCAUAUGUUUCUCCACCAUAUAACAAAAAAAAAUUAAAAAAUUUUGUUGUUUUCGUAAAGGGAAGGGAUAUGGACAACCAUAGGUAUACAGUUUCAAACCCAAAUAAAGUGGGGGAAUGUACGUAAAAAAUUAAUAAUUUGACUGAAUUUUGAUUACUUCUAUAUUGGGACUAAUUCAACUUUUGUUUUUGCCCUUUUCUUUUUUCUAUAUUAUGAUCCUUUUUCAUAAUAUAAAAGAUCCAUGUAUAGAUUUGAUUUUGCAUGUAUUUCGACUAAUUUAUAGACUUUUUUUUUUUUUGUUAAAUAAACAAUAAUUAAUGGACUUUGAAUUAAUAGAAACACAAAUUGUAAACAAAUGAUAGAUUUUGACCCACAAAUAAUAAAAGUUCAAUUUGACAAAUGUUCUUACUAUUUAAAUUUCGUCUCGAAUUUCAUUGAAAAUUAAAAAAAAAAAAAAAACCAGAAAGAAAAGAGACUUGUCUGAAAUUUUAAAUAUGGUCAAUCACAUAUUUUUUUAUUAGCUUGAAAUUAAAGUUAAUAGGAAAAAUACGAUAAAUCUGUGAAUGUAUUAUGUAUCUACUCGUAUAUGUUGUCAAAAUAAUUAAGUUACACUCCAUCUCAAAAUAACAAGUUAAUUUAGAGGUUGAAGCUCAAUAAAAAAAACUUGAUUUGAAAGUUUCUCAAAAUGAUUAAAAGAUUGAAAUGUAUGAUUUAAUAUAUUUAUUAUAUUGAAUCAUAUAUAAUAAAUGUAUGUUACAAUGUCCAACAUAAAUUUUUUUAAUGUCAUUAAUUUGAGCUACAAUAAAAGAGCUCACAGAUUCAUAAGUUUUUUUCUAUAUUAAAAGAAUCUAUUUCUUUGAUUUUUAAUAGGCCGAGUUCUUAGUUAAAAAUACCUGUUUGAAAUAUAGUUGAAAUAGUCCUUUUAUAAUAAAAUAUUUAGGUUUAAUUGAUUUUUAAACAGUCGGUAUCAAAUUUUUAAAAGUAACUUUUAUAUAUUUAAAAUUAGUUUUCAAUCACCCAUUCUAAAAGUUAAUUUAGAACUCUUUAAUUAGUAAUUAUACUUUUUUUUGUAAAUAAUUAUUUAUUUAAAAAUUAUUGGUAAAGAUAUAUUUCUAUUAUUUUAUUGUAAAAUUUUUAUAUGUAUAUAGUUGAUAUAUAUAGAUAGAUAUCGAAAGAAAAUUCAGAAAACAUAUAUAAAUGUUUGUUUUAUAUGUAAUUUAAUGAACAACCAUUUAAAAUUAAUAUCUGUAAUAUUUUGUUUUAACAAUUUAAAAUUCUUAUCUAUAAUUUAGUGUCGGUCAUUUUUGUUUCAACAUUUAAAAAAAAAAAGAAAAAAAACUCAUAGAUAGUUAUCAAUAUUUUACAUAAAAACUGAAUUAGAAAACUAUUUUAGAAGUGAUUUUUGAUCAAUUAUUAGACAAAAAAAAAUAUCUAUCAUCUAAUUCUUCUAAAAUCAAUUUAAAUAAUUUUAUAUUUUUCUAAAAUCCGUUUUAAUUUGAAAAAGUGAUUUUGACAGGAGAAAUUAUGGUUUUGAUUAACUCAAAAUUACUUCCAAAUGCUUCAGGACUCUAAUUAAAUUCAUUGUGUAUGCUUUAGCUAGAAAGUGAAAAAAAUGUACUUAAAAAAUAGUGAAGUGGUUAGAGAGUUUUUCUAAAAUUGGAAUCAAGGGAGAGAAUUAUUUUUUGUGAUUAUAACAAUUUUUCAGGUGGUGAAUUUUUUUCUUAUCUCUAGUUUUUCUUUAAGUUGGAAGUUAUGUACGUAGAUUCGUGUUACUUGUUUUAAUUUUAUUACUUUAUCUUAAUUUCACUAUUAUUUUUCUUACACGGAAUAAAUGAGUUGGUCUAAACAAAGAUUCCACAGAAAUUAUUUUAUUGGAUAUAUAAUUGGUCCACAUUUGAAUGUUUUUAUGUAACUCAAAGCAUAAUAAAAAUGAUUUGAAUGGUUGAAGAACAUCCAAGCAUGUUAGUUUAAUUAAAAUGGUGAAAACAUACAUAUUACUUUUCCUCUUCUCCCUCUUUACACACUACCAUAUAAUUCCUUUAUGCUUCACCUUCUUGUACCCUUUCAAAUUCUCAAUAUAUAUUGGGCCAAUACGAUUACCUUCAAAUAUUAUUCUCAAUAUAUUGGCAAUUAAUAUGAUUAUCCUUCCCAUGCAAAACUUCAAAUUUCUACCUUCACGUGGUUUUAUUUAACCACUAUCCUUCCAAGACUCUUCUGCUUUCAACCUUCGCGUUGUUAACUUUAUCAUUAGAGUUGUGAUAUUUUAAAUUAUUUUCCUAUACUUGGUUAACUUUAAUUACCAUAGUUAACUCUUUUUUUUUUUUUUUUUUUGUUAAAUUAAAGAUAAAUAUUUAACUUAGAUUCAUCCUACCAAACAUUAAAACUAGAGAUUUAAUUAUAUAAUCAUUUUCCAACUCAUGUCAAGUCAUUUUAAAAAAUGACAAGUCAACAACUCAAUAUGAUCCAGUUUUUAAGUCUUUGAAUUGUCACUACAAACAAUUAUAUAUCUCUUGACGCAUAUAUUCGUCCGAAAAUGCACAAAAUAGCAUUAGGAUCGAAGUUUAAUUAAACUUCUAACGAUGGAAAAAUCAUCAAAAGAUUCGUAAAAGAGACGAUCUUUUGAUUAACACACAUGGUCAUAAAUUUGGGUUUGAAUGACACAGGGUAAAUAACUAAAUUUGAGUUGGAGGAGGCAAAUUGUGUCAUAAAUGUUAGAAAAAGGCGUUUUUGGUCCGAAAACCCUAAUUUUCAAGCUUCAGUUUUUUAAUUGUCAAGCAUCAAUGACAUUUAAUAAACUACAUUAAAUGAUUUUAAUCUUUUUAUGUUACAGAUUUUGAUUGGAUUAUUUAUUAAAAACAAAAUUGGAGCAUCCAUUUUUUUUAUGAUUAUUAAUAAAUUAAAUUUUUAUAUUUAAUAUUUAUUAAUAAAGAUAAGAAAUUAGAUUUGGUUGUUAUAUGUUGGGUUAAUAUUUAAGGAAAACUCAUGACAAAAAAAGAGAAAAAGAAAGUUCAUACCACUUUCAUGUUUUUUUGGAUAUUGUAAAUAUGACAAGUAAAUAGAUAUAUUAUGAGUUUAAUAAUUAUUAUUAUUUAAACUUUUCACGACGUACAACCUGUCACACGUCGUAAAAAGUGUCCGUAUUGAAGUGACAAUAGUCACCUUUUCUCGACAUGUGGCAGGGAGACACAUCGGAAAAGUUUAAAUAAUGAAUUUAUUAUUUAAACUUUUUUUGACAUGUACUAUAUACGUUGACGAAAAGGUACCUUUCCCGACGUUUUCGGAGACGUCGAAGAAAGUUCACACUAUUUAUUCUCUCUUCAACACAGAAAAGAAUGCAAAACAAAAACAAACCAUAAAUUGACCGAGGGAGAGGAGGAGAGUUGUGUUGCCGUCGCCGUCGCCGUCCAUCUUCACCGCCGCCACCGCCGAAAGUGUCCUCUUUCCUUCUCCUUUUCUUUUUCGUUUUAACUUUUUCGCUUCAUUGUACCCUUUCAAAUAAUAGCAGAGCCAAAAUGUAGUGACAAUGUGUUUUAUUAUCAUAAUUUUUUUUUGCUAUUUUUACAAAUGUCCUAAUAUUUAUUAAUAAAGAUAAGGAAUUGAUUGUUACUAAUAUAUUCUCAGAAUUACUAUAUAUUUUUCUAAUGCACUGUUAUGAUGUGAAUCAUGAUUUUGGUUUCUCUGCUUGUUUCAGAAGUAACCCCAAAAGCAAUAAUUAGGAGGACGAUGGGAGUAAAAGGUCUCUCACCCUUCAUCACUUAAAAUCACACCUCCAAGGUUUGUUCGUUUCACCAUUCCGUGUGUUUGACGUUUUGCAUGAGAAGGAUAUCCUCCUUCAUUUCAUAGCUUAUGUACUUAUCAAAACAUUCUUUUCAUAUAUUUUUUUUAACUAUUUAAUUCAUUAUAAUGUAUUUAGGUUUGAAAACUCUUAGACUCACAUCAUUAAAAUUUAUUUGACUUACAAAAUCCAAUUAAGUUCCUUUGCUUUCGAAUCUUAGAAUAUAGUUACCCAACUUUUACUCUUUUAAAAUUGUUUUUUAUCUUCUUCUUUUGUAUUAAAUACAACUUACCCUGCUAAAAUUAUGGAUUUACUAAGCCAAUACAUUAUUCCCAUCAAAUUGUUUUAUUCCAUUUUCGUUUCUUUAUUAUUAUUAUUAUUAUUUGUCAUUGUAUUGUAUUUUAAUAUAAAAACUGAUUUUCAGAAAACUUGCGACUAAAUUUUGAAUUUGAUAACUAUAUAGUUUCCAAUAAAUCUUUAUUUAGAAAGAUCUUUGAAAAGGAGAAAAUAUAUAGAAUGUUGCUUAGAUUUCGUUUUACCCAUUUAGUAACUCUUAGAUAUUCUAAAACGUAAGAUAUGCCCUUCCAAAAUCCAAACACUCACUUUUUUUCUCUCUUUUACUUGUGAACCAUUAAUUAGGUCAAAUACGUACUCAGACAAAAUAGGUGAAAUUAGGUGAAAAUAAAAAAUAUAUAGAAUUCGUUCAAGUAUAAAAGAAUAAUUAUAAAACAUGAACAUUUUCAAACACACCUAAAUCUGGUUGCAAAAUUAAUAAGUAUAAUACAAUAGAUUUUUUUAAUUAUAUAUGGUUAAAAUUUAAUUUAAAAUAUUAUUUCUUGUUCAAUUAAUUAGACAAAGAUGUUGAUUAAAAUUCAACUUAAUUAUACUCAAUUAUAUAUUAUUACGUAAAUGUCUUAUAUGUAAAAUAUUAAAAGUAAUAUAAAUGAAUAUUUUAGUAGAAAUUUUUUUAAUAUACAUAAAUGAAUAUUUUAGUAGAAAAAUUUAUAUCAGGUAACAGUUUAACUAAUUUUGAAGGAACUAAAGAUAAUAAAUUUAAAUUGAAAAUAAAAUAUACACAUGCAUAUUGCAAAAUUUAAAAUUAAUAUUUAAAUAAAACAAGAUCAAAAUAAUAUAUAAAUUUAAAUAUUAAAUAAUUUAUAAUUCAAACUUAAAUUAAACAUGUAAAUAUUAAAAAACAAAAAAUAAAUGUAAGUAACUAGAAAAGAAGAUUUAAAACUAAAUAUGAAAUUUGAAAAUCAAAUAAUAGGUAAAUCUAAAUAUUAAAAAAUUAAAAUUAAAUUAAAUAUACAAAUAUGAAAAAUAAUAAAGAAAGGAAAAAUUCCCAACAUCCCUCCCUCCUCAACACAGUAUGAUUGACCAAAAUUUCAUGUAAUAUUUUUUGAAAUAACAUAAAGAAAAUCAUAACUAAAGUUGACUAUUCAAAGUAGGGCACCCAAAAUGUUAAUUUAAUUAGCAACAGCUCUCUAUAAAUACCCAUUUCAUGAACUACAAAAUUCCCCACUCACAUCUUAACACAUAUUAUUAUUAUCACUUUCCUACAACAAACAAAACUUCACGCAUUCCAAAUCCUUAAUUAUUCAAUUCUCUCCAAGAAACAAGGAUCCAAUGGCGACUGCUGUUAAUCAUAAAACCCUCGACUUGGAACCGGUCUCCUCCACUGGCAACUUUCCAGUUCAACGUUGCAACUCAUUCCGGUCUAAUAGCUUCAAAUUCAAGCGCCAAGCCGAGAAACCGCUCCUUAUUGAUGAUGAUGAUUCCUCCUUUGAUCGUGACGAGGAGAACAUUGAUUACUUCCGGGAUUUGAUCCGGAAGGGGAAAGAGGAAAUCGAGCCGUCGAUUCUUGAUCCGAGGGACCAGGGGACGGCGGAUAGUGGGAUCAUGAGGAAUCCUUGUAUGGUCCGGCUUACCGGAAAACACCCCUUCAACUCUGAACCGCCGCUGGACCAUCUCAUGCGCCAUGGGUUCAUUACUCCGGCCCCACUUCAUUACGUUCGUAACCAUGGUCCGGUUCCGAAGACUGAUUGGUCUAGCUGGACGAUUGACGUCACUGGACUCGUUGAAAACCCUACAUCCUUCACUCUCGACCAACUUGUCAAUAACUUCAGGUCCUCAAAUACCCAUUUUACUCAAAACCCUCCAAACUCAUUUCCAAACUAAUUCUUGUUUUUAUUUUUUAAUUUAAGUUUUUUCUUUUUUUCUAAAGUUUAAAAUUCAGUUAAUAAACACUCACUGUUUAUCUCGUAAACAAUUUUUUUUAAUAGCUAACAAAAAAAAGUUUUUAAAAAAUUGAUAUUUUGAUUUUAGGAUUUAGUCGGUACUUCCAAAACUAAGGGUUGAAGAUAGGAUAAAGAAAUAAACAUUGGUUUUUGAUUUUGUGUUUUUAAUAAUUAAGCUUAUAAAUAUUCUUUUUAGUGGAUUCUUUGAUUUGUUUUCUAACUUUCUAACAAUAUUUUAUAAAAUUAAAGUAUUCUUCUUUUAAAAAAAAAAUCAUUUUGUUAAAUUUGAUAGUACCAGUUCUAUCUCAAAACCAAUGAGAGAAGUAGUAUCUUUUUAAAUGGAUUUUCAACUUCUCCAACAAAUUUUAAAUCUAGCUCUUUUAAUUAAAAAUUGAAACUUGUUAUACAAGUUUGAGAUAAAAUAGACUGAACUACUUAUUUUUAAAUUUACAAAUCAAUGUUUGUUUAAUUUUCUUUAAUGAAUUCUUUUAAGAUUUAUGAGGUACUUAGAAAUAAUGUAUCUUAGCGCAGGAGAGCUUCAACAAAACAUCUGUAUCAUCACUUUAUUUCUUUCUUAAAAAUAAACACAAAGACAAAACCCAUAGGAUUUCUUUUAAAAAUUUUCUUUUUAGUUAUUAAAUUUAGGUUGACAUUUUGAAAACGUUUUUUUUUAAAAUAAUAAUAAAAGAGGAAAGUAGAGUUAUGACAAAACAAAGCAAUUCAAGAGCAAAACUAAAACGUCAUAAGCUUAUUUUAUUUUAUUUUUUUAAAAUACAAGUUUUAAAAUAUAGAACAAAACCCCCACACAAUUGAGUAAUUGACUAUUGAUAUAUAUAAGAAAUUGAGAACAAAUGAAAUUACAAUCAUAUUUAAAUUCAACAACUUAAAUAUGUGGGAUAUGAUUAUUUCUAACCCUUUAUUCAUAUUCUUAAAGCAGAUCUCUAGAGUUUCCGGUUACCAUCAUGUGCUCCGGCAACCGACGGAAGGAGCAAAACAUGGUGAAACAAACCAUCGGAUUCCACUGGGGAGCCGCCGUGACCUCCACCUCACUGUGGCGGGGAGUUCCAUUACGCGAAGUACUGAAACGGUGCGGCAUCUUCAGCCGUCAAAGAGGAGCCUUAUACGUAUGGAUGGAAGGCGCGGACAAUCUCCCUGGUGGUGGCGGCUGCAGCUACGGCACCAGCAUAAGAAGAGAAAUGGCAAUGGACCCAUCAAGAGAUAUCAUAAUAGCAUACAAGCAAAACGGCGACCCACUCCCGCCAGACCACGGCUUUCCGGUUAGGAUGAUCGUCCCGGGGUUCACUGGCGGCCGCAUGGUCAAGUGGCUCAAACGAAUCAUCGUCACCAAUAGAGAGUCUGACAAUUAUUAUCAUUUUAUGGACAACCGUGUCCUUCCAUCCCACGUGGAUUCUUCCGAGCUGGCACAUGCUGAAGGUGAUAUAUUUAUUUAUUAUAAUUUAAUGAUUAAUUGACAUUUUCUAAAAUUUACUAAUUUUUAAAAACUAUAUACUCAAUAUUUAUUUAGGUUGGUGGUACAAACCGGAGUACGUUAUCUACGAAAUGAACAUAAACUCUGUGAUAACAACACCGUCACACAACGAGACGUUGUUGAUUAAUUCAGAGACGACACUAUCCACCUACACGUUAAGGGGAUACGCAUAUUCCGGUGAGUAAGAAUUAGUAAUGUGAACACAAUUAUUGUAUAAUUUUCUAUUUGAGAUUUAUUUUUGUUUUCUUGGUGUAGGUGGAGGGAAAAAGGUGACACGUGUACAGGUGACGUUGGACGGUGGGGAGACGUGGAAGAUAUGUAAUUUGGAGUACCAUGAGAAGCCAAACAAGUAUGGGAAAUAUUGGUGCUGGAUCUUUUGGUCAGUCGACGUGGAAAUAUUGGACCUGUUUGGAUCUAAGCAAAUUGCUGUCCGAGCAUGGGAUGAAACAACCAACACACAGCCAGAAAAUCUUAAUUGGAAUCUCAUGGUAAUUAUUAAUAAUUAUGUUUCUAUUUCUACAUUAAAAAUAUAUUAUAGUUAAUGAAGUUAUUAUCGUCAGAAAAAUCUUACAAAAUCUAUGACCCAUGCACACAUAUGAAACUAAAACAAUAAAAUUUUAACUAAAUCAUAAGAAACCUGACAUAUAAUGUCCCUUUCUUCAGCCUUCUUCAACUACCUAUUUUUUAUUCCAUCUUUUAAAACACAGAUAUUUCUUCUUCUUCCCACCUUUUAGCUUGACUUUCCUAUUUCUCACCCUCUCAUCCAUAUGCUUUAAUUCAAAGAAAAAGUUUCUUACAAAAUAAUUAUAUUUAAACUGCAAUAUGUAUAGUGAGACUCAAUGGUUUGAUAAAUUAAAGAAAACACACGGUUUUUGCAAUAAAAAUAUACCCAGGUUGAAUAAUAUAAUAAAUAAUUGAUAACAUUAUAAAAUAGUGACAUAAAUGGGAAGAAUGAGAACAUUUUAUCGUAAUAAAAAGUUUAUGUAAGGAUGACGCAAAUUAAAUAACCGGUCAAUUUGAGAAAAUAAAAAUAAAUAUAUGUACAAAUGUAAACCCUUUUUUGUAUGGUGAUAGUAGAAUACAUAUUAAUUCUACUUUAUUUCAAACAAUAAUACUCGAUCAAUACAUACUGCCAAAAAUAUUGUUUUUUCUUAAAAGAAAAAGUACCAAUUAAUAUAGAAAAAGUACGACUUCAACGUUAUCAUACAAAAAUUUAUGAACUCUCAUAAUUAAUAUAGUAAUAAUAGUCCUAGAGAAAGAAUCAUAAGAGAAGAGAUGUUGCGGAAACGUACAUUCGUUUUAGUAGUUUUUUAGUUUUUUUCGUGGGUUUUUUCUACAGUUUUUAUUUUUUUUAAACUUUUGAAAAACCCCUUUUUAUUAAAAAAGAUAAAUAAUAAUAAUAAUUUUUCAUAGAGGAAUACUAUAUGAGAACACAUUUUCUACCACAGCUUGUUGAUAAUAAAAGUACAAAAAUGUUUGGAUGCAGGGGAUGAUGAACAACUCAUGGUACCGAAUCAAGAUAAACAUAUGCAAACCCCAAAAAGGAGAGAUCGGGAUCGUGUUCCGCCACCCAACAGUCGCCGGCAACAAUGCCGGCGGCUGGCAGGAAAAGGACAAACCCAAUCCGACCGACGAGUCCCCUUCCCAACAAAAAGACAACAAGAGCACCACCACCUUCUCCAUGUCGGAAGUCAAAACCCACAACUCGUCCGAAUCGGCUUGGAUCGUCGUCCAGAACCAUGUCUACGACUGUACUCCUUUUCUCAAAGACCAUCCAGGCGGCGCAGACAGCAUUCUCAUCAACGCUGGCACAGAUUGCACGGAAGAGUUCGAGGCUAUCCACUCCGACAAAGCCAUUAAAAUGCUUGAGGACUACAAAAUCGGAGACUUGUUGAUCCUAAACGACAACAAGGACGCAACGUCAUCACCCAAAGCAGUUACUCAACACGUGGCUCUGAUCCCUCGUGAGAAAAUCCCGGUGAAAUUGAUUUCGAAAACUACAAUUUCUCACAACACGAGAAUUUUCAGAUUUGGUCUUUCUUCGGAAGAUCAAAGAUUAGGACUACCCGUUGGAAAGCACAUAUUUUUAUGCGCCAAUGUGGAUGGGAAACUAUGUAUGAGAGCCUACACACCGUCAAGCGCCGUUGACCAAACGGGCUACUUCGACUUAGUCGUAAAAAUCUAUUUCAAGAACGUUCAUCCCGAUUUCCCCAACGGUGGCCUUAUGUCACAGUAUCUUGACUCGCUCCCGUUGGGAUCAAUGGUGGAAGUGAAAGGCCCAUUGGGCCAUAUAGAGUACAUGGGGCGCGGCAACUUCAGAGUCAACGGAAAGCCCAGAUUGGCCAAGAAGCUUGCCAUGGUGGCAGGUGGGACUGGGAUAACGCCUAUAUAUCAAGUGGUGCAGGCGAUUUUAAAAGAUCCGGAGGACGAGACGGAGAUGUUUGUUGUAUAUGCGAACCGGAGUGAGGAGGAUAUUCUGCUUAGGGAAGAGUUGGAAACAUGGGCGAAGGAGAAUGAGAGAUUGAAGAUUUGGUAUGUGGUGAAGGAUGGGGUUCAAGAAGGGUGGCCGUACAGUGUGGGAUAUAUUAGGGAAGAUAUUCUGAGGGAGCAUAUUCCGAUGGGGUCACCACAGACUUUGGCUUUGGUCUGUGGGCCGCCUCCCAUGAUUGAGCUCACAGUUAAGCCCAUACUCAAGAAUUUGGAGUAUGAUUUAGAAGGUUCCUUGUUGGUGUUUUGAUCUUUUUACUAAUUACCUUUUCAAUAUUAUUAUAAUUAUUUUGUUUGUUGUAAUAAUUACUGUGAAAGUGGGUUAAAAUUCAAUUUAUAUGAUCUUAUUCAUUUGUAAUAAUUAUGAUCACUUCAAUAAUAUUCUUUAUGUUGGUUUUUCUAUUCACUUUUCUGUGUUGUAUGAUAGAUUGAUUGAUGAUACAUGUGUUGAAAUUUUAAGUUAAAAGAAUAAUAACAAUAAUAAAAGCUAGGGAAUAGUUUACUAUUAAUUCAUUCACUCAUUUUCAUUAAUUCUACUAAUAUUACAAUUUGGACCAACUAAUGGUAUGGUAAACUCUUUUACCUCCCUAUCACCUCUAUUUAGUAUGUUUUAAAUGUAUAAAAACUUAUUGAUAGUAUUGGACAAAUAAACAAUCACAUUAAUUUAUUUUUUUAAAUGUCAAAAUUACCCUCUCUUCUUGCGCCUCUUCCUUCCUCUUUCCUCUUCCUCAACACCUUUCUUAUGUCAAAAAAAAAAAAAAAAAAAAAAAAAAAAAAACUGUCAGUCCAAACUCUCAUCUUCUUCCUUGUUUUUCUUCCCACCUUCUUCUUAUGUUUGGAAAGCUCUACCAAAACCACACAGGCUGACUAAACCCCUAAUAACCAAGAUCCAAUAUCAUUGUUGAAAUCCACCUCUCUUCAUCAGAGUUAAUCACACUGAAAUACCCACCUGUAGAUUGAAGAAAACCACGUUGAACGGAACUACCCUUGUCGAAAAAAACCCCCUUUUUCUGCUAGACCCUCGCUGAUGAAGAAUACCCUGACAACCACACUGUAACAACUUCAAUUGCUCUUGAAAAUCUGCAUAAUUCUCAAUAUAAUUUCUUAUGCAAAUAUCCUCAUUUUGGCUUUUACGAUAAGAGCCUUACAGUGGAUGAAGGUUCACUAGUUUACAAAAUUGUCAUCGGUGCAUGUACUUAAUACUGUGACAAUAAAAAAAGUAAUGAGAAGGUAAUCAAAUAAGCAGAAGGUAAUCAAAUUUAAUGAUUAUUUUAGAAGGCUAACUAAAAUUAAAAAAAAUUUAAAUGUAGAAGGUGACGCGCAUUGAGAUAAUCUACGUUUGUUAUUUGUUAAGUAAAUGAUUUUGAAGAAAGAGUUUUUGAGAAUUUAAGUGUUUUGAUGCUUAGCAUUGAGAUAAGGUGACGUGGGGAGAAGGAGAAGGUGAGCAAGACUAAGUAGGCAGUUUGAGGAUCAAACACGAGCUGAAGUUAGGCGUUGAAAGGUAGGCAGUUUGAGGAUCAAACACGAGCUGAAGUUAGGCGUUGAAAGGUAGGAUUUUUUCUAGAAACUUUCUAAUUGUACUUAAUGGGUGAAGUGUGUAAGAGUUUAAACUAAGUAUGGUCAUGAAAAUAUUAAGCUUACGUGUGUAGUACUUUAAGCAGAAGCUGGUGAGUUAAUUAACAAGAACUUACGGAUGACUAAUCUAAUUUGGAUUAGUAUAUAAAUAGGGAAAAAGGGUCGGUUAUGAAAAAUGUAAUGCUAAAGUAUUUGAAGUCACUCUAAGUCAGUAGGCAAGAAGGUCUUUUAGAACCUAGGCGUUCUAAAGACAAAAUUUAUGUUGUGAGUGAUUUUCAAAUAUCAUUUAAAAAUUUUGAAAGCUUCCUUCUGAUUGUAAUGAUUGCUUCUUAUAAUAAUGUUCAUGAAAGAAAUGUUUUCUAAAGAAAGCUUUAAUGUUAUGCUCCAAGUAAAGUUUUAUGUAUGUUAAAUGUAUGCUAUGUUAUGUAUAAAUCAUUAGUCUUAUUUCUAUCAAUGAACUAACUAUUAAUGUGCAUAGAAGAAAUAAAGGCAUCUAUGUAUAAAAUUAUUGCAUGGUGUAAGUGAAGUUAGCUAAUGCGUAAAAGGAAAUACUGAGCUUAGCGGCUUAAGCAACAUGAAGUGAACCACGAUAUUCUCCAAGGGAUGUUGUUGAUGAAAAGGACAUCACAGUAUUCCAUAUGGGGGAAUAGUUAAUGUUCUUGAAAGAAAGGAAUAUGAAAGACUAAUGCAUGUUUUAUGUUCUACGAAACAGACAUUGAGCCUGUUUACUGAAAACCUUUUAACGCAUUGUAUGUCUGAAAAGGUUUUCCAAAACUAACAUUCGCUAAGUUUUUACUUACGCUUUAAAGAUUUUUCUCUCCCAAGUCACCAUGCGUUAAGGCCAAGGUUGGGAUAAGGAAGGUGAACUACCAAGCAGUGAAGCUAAUGCAAGACUUUUAAGAUUAUUGUUCUAGUUGUUGUAUUUAAGAAGCAUGCAAAUUGUGUUGUUGUGUACAUUAUGUUAAGUUAAGAGAAGAGUUGGUUGAUUAUUUUCCGUUGCGUUAUGUAAACUCUAUUCGCCUAAAGCUUAAGUUCAAGAAGUUAGGUUGAGCAUUCUGGGGUUUCAUCUUGAGGCAUUAGAACUUGCUCAAGUCACAUCGCACGCUGCAUUGCAAGAUUUGGGAUGCGUGCGAGACAAGGUGUGACAAAUCAGAUCACAAUCAUAAUGGAACAAAAAAUCUUACUAAUUGACAUAAAAUGGAAAGUAAUCAUAUCACAAUGUAAUGGUAAUCAGAAACUACUUAAUAAUUGAUAAAAGCUUGAUGGUAAUGAGAUGAAUAUCAGAUUUUACUUAGUAAUUAUAAAAAAAAAGAUGUAAUGUCAUUAGAUUGCAAUUAGUAUCAUUUACAAAUAAUUAAAAAUCAAUAUUAAAUUAAAUAAUAACAAGAUGGUAAACUAGUAUCAUUAACAAUCAAAUAACAAUGAACACUAAAUAACAAUAAGAGAGUAAUCAGACAACAAUCAAAUAACAAUUGAUAUCAUUGAUAAUCAAAUGAAAAUCUGAUAACAAUUAGAUGAUAAUCAAAUGUCAGAACUUGAUUCCAUGUUCUGUAUCAGCUUAGUUUUGAUAAUAGUUGACAAUUUGAACUACGGUAAACAUUAUGAGAACAUUUGAACUAUUCAUGUUGUUACUAUCUUUCAAAACUUUCAAUGAAUUCCUCCUUGAUAUAGCAUCUCUUGAAUGCAUUAGAACCUAAAGUUGAUCCUUCUUACACAAGUAAGACAUAAAUAAAUUCUAUAUUUUGGUUACAAACACUUGACACCAUUUAUGGUUAUUUCAUUUUUUUCGUGUUUUAUAUGUAGGUCUUCAAUGGUAUUGACACUAACCUUAAUAUGAGUUCCAUCUAAUGCUCCCACACAAUUCUAUAAAAAAAAAAAAAACAAUUGUUUUACUUCAUUCAAACAAGUAUCACUAUUGAAAAAUGUUAAAACUUACUACUUCAAGUCAUACCUCAAACCAUCUCCACUUUUCAUUGGAUGAAUUUACCUCAAACCAUCUCCACUUUUCAUUGGAUGAAUUUGUAGAUACAUGACUUGGUUUCUUUAGGAGGAAUUCAGGAAGACACAAUAUUGAGUUAAGAACUUCAUUAAAGAACAUAUUAACUUAUGAGACCUUGAUCGCGUUUUGAAGCUACACGUUAAGACCACAUGCAACAAAACUUAUAUGUGUUAAGAUUGCAUGCAAUGAGAGCUGGUGAAUAACACAAAGAUAGUGCCAGAAAACAUGAAGAAUAUUUCAACUUUCAACAUUCACUGAUAUGGGUUAUUAGAAGUUAUCUUCUAUGUCCAACAUCUAUAAAAGGCCAAUGAAGUCUUUUUUUCAAAUCAUCAUCUAACUAGCCAAAUAAGCUACUAGAUUGAAAUUUUUGUUGGAACUUAUGGCACUCUAGUUAACAUUCUAAGAUUGAGAUUGUAUUUUAAUCAUCUUUGGUGACAAACACUUGUAUGGAUUCAAUCAACUAAGUGUGAGAGACCUUAAAAUCAAUCAAAUAACAGAUUGAGAUAUCAUAGGAGUACAAUUUAAGUAAUUUCUUUACAGAGAAAGUGAAGAGAUUUAAGAGAGUUCGAAAGAAUCCUAUCUAGUAUCAUUUCAUUGAGACUUUGUAUAAAACCUUGACUUAAAGCUAAGAGCAGGAAAUUGUUACAGCUGCAAUUCCUUCUAUCAUAUUCAUUUGUUACAAUUCCUUCUAUAAUUGUUACAACAUCAUCAUUCUUUUGUCUUUUUAUAUUUUCUUAUUAAUCACAUUCCAUAGCUAAAGUUAUUGUUUUGUUGUCGACACUGAUUUCUCACUUUGUCAUAGCAGCUUAAUUAAUUUCAUAGGAGAAUGAGAUUAGUACAUAGUAAGUUGUGAAGCAUGCGUUGGCAUUCAUAGUCAUAUGGAUGCGAUAUCCUAUUCCUAACUGUUGACCCCAAUACCAAUUCGAAUCAAGUGGUAGCAAUUAACUGCUCGAGCAAAUAAGUGAUUGCAGAAUUUAUUAAGUCGGGUAAAGAAGUUCUCUUUAUUUCUGGACUAACCUUAGCAUGCAUCAUAAAAAUAUGACACAUGUGGCUAACUCAUUGAACGGUGGAGACAAUGCAAGGCUACAAAUAUAAAUAUGACGCUAUCACAUCAUUCACUUCACUUCAUCCUUUGAUCUUAUUCAUCUCUUUUUUAGUGUUGUCACUUACUUGUCACACUCUCUUUAAAUUAGAACACAUACUUUUUUAUAGUUAAAAAUAAAACUACACCUCCUAUAUUUGAUAAACACUCAGUUGCACAGACAACAUUUUUCGAUCUUUUUAACUAUAUGUUGUUUAUUUUUCGUGUUUGACCUCGAAUCAUUUUCAAAAAACCUUUGCUUAACUUACACUUGGGGUUAUAUAUAGAAAAACUUGUGGUAGAGCAUUACCAACACUUUUAAAAAUGCAUUACUAAUAUUCACACACCUCUAUCACAUCGCAUAUUACACCAUCGAGUAUUUUAAACACCAACUACCUGCACUAUUAUUUUCCAUCCAAAUACUUUUCUUCACCUUCUCUAAAUCUUUGAGCAAUUGAAUAAAAGUUUGUGAUGCAUGCUCAAACAACUAUUCAUUUAUGCUACUGUCAAGUAAUUUGACAAUCAUCACGAUCUAGUUACAAAUUGACUCUUUGAUUUUUUCACUUGUCUCUAUUUGAUUCUCAAGUUCACUUGAAACUCUAGCCUCUUUAAAUAUACGUUAAAAGAAUUAGGUUAAUAAUUUUCUUCUCAAGCACCUUAAGUGCACGGGUAUAUAAAAUUCCAACAAAAGUAAAUUUUAUGGAACUGGACGUAAUAAUGAUAUAAAAAUUUCACCAUCCAUUAUCCCAUGUAUGAACCCUUUAUACAUUUCACUCACGUAUCUUCAUAUGAACAAUACAAUUCAUAUUGUUUGUAACAUUUACAUCUCAUGUAACAAUUACAAAGUGGGUCGUAACCAAAGACCUUUUAGAUUAUAACUUGAACACAUGAAUUAUUUGUAUGUCAUCCACGUAUUAUUUGACUAACAUUAUAUAUAACGUGGGUCUUUGUUUAUUGAAUUGAAUUAAUAUUGUCUAAAAGUAAAAUAAAAUAUUUCAGGCUUUCUUAAAUAAAUAAUUUUUGUUUAAUGAAAACUACUAACAGUGAGAUUUUAGGACACUAGUUUACAUAAAUAUCAACAGGGGAUAACAAUGAAGUGCAUGUGAGUUAAGUUCGAUAUCCAUAUACCUAUGAAAAUGGGAAGAACAGGUACAAUGUAAAAUUAAGAGUGUCUUAGUUAGAUACCCUGGAGUUACAGGGUUUUAAGUGCGCAAACCAUCGUUAUGUAAACCAAGCACAUAUAUCAAUCUAACAAAAUAAAGAUUAUAACUCCCAAUACGUACUAGAAUCAUAAAUUGCAUGUUACUUCAUGGGCUCCAACUUGUGAGUGAGAGGUCAGUGUUGUGGGUAAUUUUUUUAAGAAGUUUCGUGGCCAUUAAAUUAGUCGAGGAAAGAUAGCUAGAGCCUAAGCAAUACAUUAUAAGACGAAAAGGAGGUUUAGGAAAGAGAAAGAAAUGGGUAGAAAAAGCUUAUCUGAGAUUCUCAGCUUAGCUUCCACCAAAGUCGGGCCUAGUGAAUUAGCUUGGGAACUUUUCCAUUCAUUCCACCUAGAACAAUAAUGAAAGAGAAAAUGGCCAUGGAACUAUUUCAUUUGCCCUAUCUGGUCUAAUGAGCAUUCAAAAGCCUCCCAGAUGCAUAGUUUUUAAACAGAAUCGUGAGAGGAUUACAGCAUAUGAUAACGCCUGCCAUGACAACUCCUUGGAGAAGGAGGUGAAUUCUUCUAUCCUAAUAUUUUCUUUUUCUUUUUUGGUUCGUUUAUUGAUUUAAGCAUUAGAGUGUGGGUUGGCAUCCAUCACACCAAUGUCUAAAACUCACAUUUUUUUUUCCAAGGAUUUUGAUUUCUUUCCAUCAAUUCACCGUUGCUAUCUUGUUCAAAUUUCAACAUCAAUAACAUAAAAACAUGGUUAAAUUUAUGAAUAGUGUAAUUUAAUAAACAAAUGACAAAUUUGUGGUAGUUUUGAAAUAAAUAUUGAAAAUAAAUAAAUUGAAUUUGGGGGAGAUGCAAAAUAUUGACAGAAAAACAACAACCAUGAAUUGAUAAUGAAAUAAGGUUAAUUUUGAUUACAUCACCUUCUUAAAUUGAUUAUUAAUUAACAAACUUUUUAAUUAAUUAAUUAUAUCACAACUGUAAAGAAAUAUAUUAUAAUGUUAAGAUAAAUAUCUUUGUAAUUGUUUAAAGCCCUUUCUGCAGAUUCAUUUCUAGUGCUUUUUUUUUUCCACGAAGAAAGCGAAGGCACUACAACUACACUUCAAUUAUAUCGUGAACCAUUGAAUAUUAUUCAAACUUCUAUUCUUAUCAUUGGCUUUUUUUUUUUUUUUUUUAUUGCUUCUAAAUUACAAAAUUCUCCAUUAUAAAAAUGACUGAAACUCAAUUACUUUAAUUCACUGGCUCAAAUCUAAAGCAAAAAUUAAAUAAUUAAAAAAAGAAUAGCAAAUAUUUUAUCACCAAGUUGAUAUAUUUUAAUCCUGGCUUAAAACAAAAAAGAGAGUUUGAGAAAUGUAAUACCAUCCUUCAGUUGACAGCAAAAAAAAAUGUCAACUAUAGUAAUAAUUGUAUCGUUCUAUUCUUAAAAAGGUUAUUCGUGGACAUUAAGUAAUACGAAAAUAUAAGAUGUAAUAAACAUAGAUAUGCAUUUACUCCAAAAUAUACUCUUAUAGUAUUAUAUUUAUUUCUACCGUACAAAUUGAUUAAGGGUAAAAUAUAUUUUCUAUAAAAGUAGAGAAUUCGUUCGUUUGAUCUUCAACCAUAAACCUAACGAAAAACUGGAAGAAAAGAUACAUACAAGAUAUAUGCGUUUGUGUGUGUGUAUUCUAAGUCUUCAUUAAAGAGAAAGCUAAGGUUUGUCAAUCUGAGAAACACCAGGAAGAUGAGAAUGGGAAAUAUCUGAUAUAUUUUCAUUUAUGUCCACAUAUUAAUGUAAAGUAAAGUUGUCCUGAAAUUAAAAACUGUCUCAAAUGAACAUGUAUUGGAAAAGCUUUGUCCAAUGGCAACGUUGAUUUGAAAUGAAGUUCCAAAAAGGACGAGUAAUGAAUGUAAAUUAAUUAGGAGAGAUUAUGAAUGUGAUGGGGAGUUCAAAUAAUUAUAUAUGGAAGUCCUUGUGAUAUUUUUGCAAACUGUGUGGAGGGCCAUGCAUUCUUUUAGCCUCCUUUUCUUUGAUUUGACACUUCACUCACGUUUUGGCCCAACAACACGACACCCUAACUUCCAAUUUACAAAAAAGAACUGAUUUACUUUAUUAUUUACUCUUUCAAUGUGAUUGAUGCCCAAUUUUAAACUCUUUACUUUCUCCAGGAUAUGAGAUCUCUCACAUUAGGCAUAAUCACAAUUUUUGUAAUAUUCACCUCUAGUUUUUAGAUAUUGUAAUUUCCUUCCUACUUAAGUCAAGUCGUUGUGAUUUGGCUUAAUUUCGUGUUUAUAUCAAACCUUUGAGGAGAGAAUUAUUAGUAAACCAACAUAGGAUGAAAGUAAAAAGUUAAUUCUUCUAUCCUAACUCUUCUUCUUUUUUUAAUUAAAGUUGAAAAGGAAGAGAUGUAUCUUAGAUUUUGGUGUUUGCCUACCCAAACAAUAAAAUAAACAUUCCUCUCUCACUUUUUCAAAAUACUUUUUUAAUAAAUAUUUAAGAAAAGAACACAAAUUGGCUAUAUAUAUAUAUAUAUAUAUAGUUAUAGUUAUAUAUAUUGUGAACUGCCCCUUAUGACAAGAGGUAUCUUCACCUUUAUUAAUAUUAUAAAUGUAUAUUGAAAGGCAGACAAUGAAUAGGCCAAAUUUGUUCCACCCAAUGUCUUUGGAGUCAUUUUCCACGUUGUAGGGUGAUCAAGUCCAAAGGUAAUAUAAUAUGGUUCCUAUUUUCAUAAGAAGCAGUACAAUUAUCAAAUUGGGUGCAAUUAUAAUAUUAUUAUUAAUUCCUUAAAAUAGUGUGUGAAUAAAGUUUUCUUUCCUUAAAUUAAUUAAUAUAUGGCUGUCACUUGUUAAAAUGUCCAUUAGUCAAGCCAAACACCCUAAUUAGCUGCCUUCCACAAUGUCUUCCUGUUCAACAUGGGACUAAUCUCAAUUAGACUUAACUAAACUAUUCUAUACCUAAAUAUCAUUCUACCAUAGAAAAUUCAACUCCACCUUCCCUUUUUUUUUUUCUUCUUAAUCUUUCCCUUUCUUUCUUAGUUAGUUAGUGGGUGAGUCAAAUUAAAGUUUUAACUUCUAAAAAUAAAUAUUAAUACAAUAAAUUUUUAAAAAAUAUAAAUUUUACAAAAUAUUUUCAAUCUAUAGUAAAUUCUAUAACAAAUAGUCAUUGACAUGCUAGAAUAAUCAAAGACUAUUAGUGAUAGAAUCUAAAAUUUUGCUAUAGUUUGUAAAUAUUUUAAUUUAUUUUGCUAUUUUUAAAAAUACCCUUAUUAAUAUAAACAUACUACAUCACAUCAUUUGUAGGGAAAAAAAAAUGAAGAAAAACAGACCAACAAAAAAAAAAGAAAUCAUCCAUGGAUUUAACAAAGUCUAAAAUAGCUACUUUUAUUUUUAUUAAGAUUUAAGAAGUAAAAUAAAUAUGUUUUUAAAAAUAUUAAAAAAAUUUGGAAAUAAAAACUAAAUUUAAACUCAAAAAAUUUAUCGAACUUGUGGUGUAAUAUAAACAUCUAGACACACUAACAUGAUUCACCAAAUAAGAUGAGAUGGAACCCUGGGAGUCUUUUCAAGGAGAAAAGAAAGUAAUGGUAUUUGGAUGGAUUGAGUUAUAUGAAACUAUUUUAAAUGGAAAGAUAAUGGAAAAUAAUUAUAAAAUAUAGUAAAAUAUUAUAUAUCACAAUAAAUAAAUUGUACAUGUAUGUAUUUAAAAUUGGUUCAUCUUAAAAUUGGUUAACUUAAACAGUAAUUUAAGGUAGAAAGAUUGAGAUACAAAAUAAUUUAGAAAUAUUUAUUUGGGUAGAAGGAGUUGGGGUUAGGUAUGUAGAAUAGAAGAAAAAGGGUGGGAAAAUGUAGUAGUGGAUUGUGGUGGCGGUGGGUAAAUAAAAGGAGGAGUAAAGUGGAAUCUAAAAAUGAGGAUGAUUCCAUGCGUGUGGCGGCCAUAAAAAAGAAGAAGGAGAAAGAGAGAGAGUAGGGUCCGGAGAUUGUGGAAAAGAUGGAAGCCAGGGAAAGGAAACUAAACUAGGUUUUAAAUUGGCCUUUGAGUUCCCCAAAUAACAAUGGGCCCAUUUUCAUUUUCCCAUUACUCGCCCCUUCGCUUGCUACGCGGCUAACAUUCCUUCUUCCUUCUUUCAUUAAUCACAUGCCCCAUUUUUAUCAUCCUUUAAUUUCAUCUUCCCAAUUCAUUCUACCCUUCCCUUUUUACAAUUAUUACAUUCAUGCAUCUUUCCUUAUACCUUCCCAAUUCAUUCUACCUUCUUCAUUCUUUAAAUCACCCUACCCUCCUCCUUUUUCCUUCUCAUUACUUAUUUCUAAAAUACCUCUCUAUAUGCAUCUUCCCUUAAUACACGUUCCACCAAAAUUCUCACAUCUCUAUAAACUCCGCAUCUACAUUACUGUACUUGUUUUAUGGAUAUUGUGCACCCUUUACAAGUUUGCGGUGUAUUCUUUGAAUUCAAAUAUUGGUUUUCUCUAUUCCUCUGUUUAGGACAACUCCUAUAUAUUACAUUUUUUUUUCAUUUUAUAUGGUUAAAAAUAGAUACUAUCAAGUAUGUAUUAAACUCACCCGCAAAUUUAGUAUAGGCUAAGGAGACUUGUCUUUAUAUAAUAUGUAUAAACAAAAUCAAUUAAUACUUAAUAUUAAUUGAUAGUUUAGUGGUAAUAAUGCGUUCAAGUCUUAUUUGUAUAGUUUUUUUUCAAAUUUUUAUUUUUUUUUUAAGUUACAACUUCAAACCCACUGUCAAUAAAUUUUCUGGACAUAAACUAAGUAUAUUGGAUAACUUAAUUUUAGGCAUUUCAAGAUUUUGUUCAUCUACAAUUCUAGAAAAAAUAUUGUACUUGAGGGUGAUUGAAACAUUAUAUUGUCCAGUGUAACUAGUAGCUUUUAUAGUAGGUGAGUUUAUUGGAUCAAUCCAUAUUAUUUUAGUGUAAGUUAUUUAUAAAAUAUACCAAAAUUUUAUAAUCUACCAUAUUUUGUGAAUAUUUGUUAUAAUGUGUCAUUUCCAAUAAUUUCCUUUUUUCAUAGUAUUUUUUUUUUCUACUAGGAUGAGUCAUAGUUUUUUCUAGUUUUCUUACCUAAAUUCAUGUGUUUAUUAGGUACUAUUAUUUGUUAUUUUCUUUUCAUUCCUCACUUAUGUUUGUUUAAUAAUUUGUGGUGGAAUUAAGAUUGCUUUGAGUACAUGAGGGCAAAUUAUUCAAUGCAUAAAAUCUUAAUUUAAAAAUUAUAUCUUAAUUAUUAGUGUCACAAAUUUGUGUUGCCGUGUUAGGUUGUUUUUCAAGUUUUUCAUUCAGAUACUCCAUCACCUACAUAUAUAUAUAGUUAUACCAACAUUUUAGAUAUAUGAUAUCAAAUAUUGACAUAAACGCCAAAGAAUCCUGAAAAUUUUUAAUAUUAAGAAUUCAUAUAUUCAACAACUCGAGUUUAACAAAACCAUGUUUGAAUGCAGAAUUUUCUUUGCUAUGGUUUUCUAUGUUUUUUCUUUUAAUUUUCUAUCUCUUGUUAUCUUGAAGCUGAUCAUCUCCCCUAGUGGACAAUUUGGUAUUUGAAUUGACAUUUUUGUCAUUUCCCUGUUCCCCCACGAAUAAGUUCCCUUCAAAAUUCUCCACAUAUUUUCCUACACAAAUGAACCAAUUAAUUUCUUCUUCGUUAAUUUCAAAUAUAUACCAAAAUGAAAAUAAUGAAAAUAAUGAAAUAAUAGGUGAGAAAUGUUAAUGAAUUAAUUAUCGUCCCUUAAUUGCAUGUAGACAUCCAAACAAUAAUAGGAGAAAAAGAAGGGUAUUUACAACUUAAUAUUCACAUAUACUAAUUAUUUUACAAAACGAAUCCAACGUCCUUUUCUUCAAUUUUCGAUUUCCAUUGAAGAAAGAAAAAAACAAAGAAAAAAAAAACAUUUUAUUAAAAUUAAAAUUUUAUUAUUUUCGUCUGUCUCUGUCUACUCAAAACACCAACAUGGAAUUCUUGGUGUCGUAAUUCAUCUUCUCCAGAUUGGGCUGCACUGCAAAUUGAAUCAUCGGCGGCGGCCCAC